rnacentral:rRNA from 1 species
UUGAACGCUGGCGGCAGGCCUAACACAUGCAAGUCGAGCGGUAGCACAGAGAGCUUGCUCUCGGGUGACGAGCGGCGGACGGGUGAGUAAUGUCUGGGAAACUGCCUGAUGGAGGGGGAUAACUACUGGAAACGGUAGCUAAUACCGCAUAACGUCGCAAGACCAAAGUGGGGGACCUUCGGGCCUCAUGCCAUCAGAUGUGCCCAGAUGGGAUUAGCUAGUAGGUGGGGUAACGGCUCACCUAGGCGACGAUCCCUAGCUGGUCUGAGAGGAUGACCAGCCACACUGGAACUGAGACACGGUCCAGACUCCUACGGGAGGCAGCAGUGGGGAAUAUUGCACAAUGGGCGCAAGCCUGAUGCAGCCAUGCCGCGUGUGUGAAGAAGGCCUUCGGGUUGUAAAGCACUUUCAGCGGGGAGGAAGGCGGUGAGGUUAAUAACCUCAUCGAUUGACGUUACCCGCAGAAGAAGCACCGGCUAACUCCGUGCCAGCAGCCGCGGUAAUACGGAGGGUGCAAGCGUUAAUCGGAAUUACUGGGCGUAAAGCGCACGCAGGCGGUCUGUCAAGUCGGAUGUGAAAUCCCCGGGCUUAACCUGGGAACUGCAUUCGAAACUGGCAGGCUAGAGUCUUGUAGAGGGGGGUAGAAUUCCAGGUGUAGCGGUGAAAUGCGUAGAGAUCUGGAGGAAUGCCGGUGGCGAAGGCGGCCCCCUGGACAAAGACUGACGCUCAGGUGCGAAAGCGUGGGGAGCAAACAGGAUUAGAUACCCUGGUAGUCCACGCCGUAAACGAUGUCGAUUUGGAGGUUGUGCCCUUGAGGCGUGGCUUCCGGAGCUAACGCGUUAAAUCGACCGCCUGGGGAGUACGGCCGCAAGGUUAAAACUCAAAUGAAUUGACGGGGGCCCGCACAAGCGGUGGAGCAUGUGGUUUAAUUCGAUGCAACGCGAAGAACCUUACCUGGUCUUGACAUCCACAGAACUUAGCAGAGAUGCUUUGGUGCCUUCGGGAACUGUGAGACAGGUGCUGCAUGGCUGUCGUCAGCUCGUGUUGUGAAAUGUUGGGUUAAGUCCCGCAACGAGCGCAACCCUUAUCCUUUGUUGCCAGCGGUCCGGCCGGGAACUCAAAGGAGACUGCCAGUGAUAAACUGGAGGAAGGUGGGGAUGACGUCAAGUCAUCAUGGCCCUUACGACCAGGGCUACACACGUGCUACAAUGGCAUAUACAAAGAGAAGCGACCUCGCGAGAGCAAGCGGACCUCAUAAAGUAUGUCGUAGUCCGGAUUGGAGUCUGCAACUCGACUCCAUGAAGUCGGAAUCGCUAGUAAUCGUAGAUCAGAAUGCUACGGUGAAUACGUUCCCGGGCCUUGUACACACCGCCCGUCACACCAUGGGAGUGGGUUGCAAAAGAAGUAGGUAGCUUAACCUUCGGGAGGGCGCUUACCACUUUGUGAUUCAUGACUGGGGUG